rnacentral:rRNA from 1 species
AUGAACGCUGGCGGCGUGUCUAAGGCAUGCAAGUCGAACGGGUUUGAUGACCGCAAGGAAGUCAAACUAGUGGCAAACGGGUGAGUAACACAUUAGUAACCUACCUCAAAGUUCACAACAACCCUGCGAAAGCGGGGCUAAUAGUGGAUGUGAUCGUUUCGCGAAAGCGGGACGCUUAAAGAUGCAAAACAUCGCUUUGAGAGGGGCUUAUGGUCUAUCAGCUAGUUGGUGAGGUAAUGGCCCACCAAGGCUUCGACGGAUAGCGGGCGUGAGAGCGCGACCCGCCUCACUGGGACUGAGACACUGCCCAGACUCCUACGGGAGGCUGCAGUCGAGAAUAUUCCCCAAUGGACGAAAGUCUGAGGGAGCGACGCCGCGUGUAUGAAGACGCCCUUCGGGGUGUAAAGUACUUUUUUCGGGGACGAAUUUUGACGGUACCCGAAGAAUAAGAGGUUGCUAACUCUGU